rnacentral:rRNA from 1 species
GACGAACGCUGGCGGCGUGCUUAACACAUGCAAGUCGAGCGGUAAGGCCCUUUCGGGGGUACGACGAGCGGCGAACGGGUGAGUAACACGUGGGUGACCUGCCCUCAGCUCUGGGAUAAGCCUGGGAAACCGGGUCUAAUACCGGAUAUGACUCCAUGACGCAUGUUGUGGGGUGGAAAGCCUUGUGCGGCUGAGGAUGGGCCCGUGGCCUAUCAGCUUGUUGGUGGGGUGAUGGCCUACCAAGGCGACGACGGGUAGCCGGCCUGAGAGGGCGACCGGCCACACUGGGACUGAGACACGGCCCAGACUCCUACGGGAGGCAGCAGUGGGGAAUCUUGCGCAAUGGGCGAAAGCCUGACGCAGCGACGCCGCGUGAGGGAUGACGGCCUGGUGUAACCUCUUCUAGCUCCGACGAAGCGAGAGUGACGGUAGGAGCGAGAAGAA